UACGUAGGGUGCAAGCGUUUGUCCGGAAUUAUUGGGCGUAAAGAGCUCGUAGGCGGUCUGUCGCGUCUGCUGUGAAAACCUGGGGCUUAACCCUGAGCCUGCUUCCGAUACGGGCAGACUAGAGGUAUGCAGGGGAGAAUGGAAUUCCUGGUGUAGCGGUGAAAUGCGCAGAUAUCAGGAGGAACACCGGUGGCGAAGGCGGUUCUCUGGGCAUUACCUGACGCUGAGGAGCGAAAGCGUGGGGAGCGAACAGG
rnacentral:rRNA from 1 species